GACGAACGCUGGCGGCGUGCUUAACACAUGCAAGUCGAACGCUGAAGCUUGGUGCUUGCACUGGGUGGAUGAGUGGCGAACGGGUGAGUAAUACGUGAGUAACCUGCCCUUGACUCUGGGAUAAGCCUGGGAAACUGGGUCUAAUACUGGAUACGACAUGUCACCGCAUGGUGGUGUGUGGAAAGGGUUUUACUGGUUUUGGAUGGGCUCACGGCCUAUCAGCUUGUUGGUGGGGUAAUGGCUCACCAAGGCGACGACGGGUAGCCGGCCUGAGAGGGUGACCGGCCACACUGGGACUGAGACACGGCCCAGACUCCUACGGGAGGCAGCAGUGGUGAAUAUUGCACAAUGGGCGGAAGCCUGAUGCAGCGACGCCGCGUGAGGGAUGACGGCCUUCGGGUUGUAAACCUCUUUCAGCACGGAAGAAGCGAAAGUGACGGUACGUGCAGAAGAAGCGCCGGCUAACUACGUG
rnacentral:rRNA from 1 species